rnacentral:rRNA from 1 species
CCUACGGGUGGCAGCAGUGAGGAAUAUUGGUCAAUGGGCGGGAGCCUGAACCAGCCAAGCCGCGUGCAGGAAGACGGCUCUAUGGGUUGUAAACUUCUUUUGUCGGAGAACAAAACCGGAGACGUGUCUCCGGCUGAGUGUACCCGAAGAAAAAGCAUCGGCUAACUCCGUGCCAGCAGCCGCGGUAAUACGGAGGAUGCGAGCGUUAUCCGGAUUUAUUGGGUUUAAAGGGUGCGUAGGCGGUAGAUUAAGUCAGCGGUAAAAUGUCGGGGCUAAACCCCGGACGGCCGUUGAAACUGGUUGGAUAGAGUGGGGGAGAAGUAUGCGGAAUGCGUGGUGUAGCGGUGAAAUGCAUAGAUAUCACGAAGAACUCCGAUUGCGAAGGCAGCAUACCGGCGCCAUACUGACGCUGAGGCACGAAAGCGUGGGGAUCGAACAGGAUUAGAUACCCUUGUAGUC